rnacentral:misc_RNA from 1 species
GGAAGGAUCAUUAUUGAAAAAUAUAACAGGCUGUUGCUUUCAUGUGCACGCUUGUAUAAUUUUUUUUGUUUAUCUUCUCCAACUUUGUGCAUCUACUGAAGAUCCUGGUAAUUGAGAAUUGCUGUGCCUUGUUCUUUUGGUAUCAGCUUUGCUCUUUUGUUUUUCCAGAUCUUUUCUUCAUAAAAUCUAAAUUGUAUUUGUUUUGUGGGCAAUUAUAUAAAAUGGAAUUAUACAACUUUCAGCAACGGAUCUCUUGGCUCUCGCAUCGAUGAAGAACGCAGCGAAAUGCGAUAAGUAAUGUGAAUUGCAGAAUUCAGUGAAUCAUCGAAUCUUUGAACGCAUCUUGCGCUCCUUGGUAUUCCGAGGAGCAUGCCUGUUUGAGUGUCAUCAAAUUCUCAACCUCAUUCAUUUAUUUAUUGAUUGGUUGGAUGUGGAGGUCUGCAGGACUACUUUUGUUAUCUGCUCCUCUGAAAUGUAUUAGUGGCAGAAAGAAAAUCCACAGAUGUGAUAAAUUUAUCUAUGUCUUGGAAUAUAAAAUAGUUUUGUGCUGCUUUACAAUUUUCUUGAUUGACACAAAUCUUGACCUCAAAUCAGGUAGGACUACCUGCUGAACUUAAGCAUAUCAAUAAGCAGAGGAAAAGAAACUAACAAGGAUUCCCUUAGUAACUGCGAGUGAAGUGGGAAGAGCUCAAAUUUGAAAUCUGGCAGCCCUUUGACUGUCCGAGUUGUAAACUAGAGAAGUGUUACCUAUGCUGGACCAUGUACAAGUCUCCUGGAAUGGAGCAUCAUAGAGGGUGAGAAUCCCGUCUUUGACAUGGACUACCAUGCAUGCUGUGGUAUGCUCUCAAAGAGUCGAGUUGUUUGGGAAUGCAGCUCAAAAUGGGUGGUAAAUGCCAUCUAAAGCUAAAUAUUGGCGAGAGACCGAUAGCGAACAAGUACCGUGAGGGAAAGAUGAAAAGAACUUUGGAAAGAGAGUUAAACAGUACGUGAAAUUGCUGAAAGGGAAACGCUUGAAGUCAGUCACGUUGGCCAGAAAUCAGCCUUGCUUUUGCUUGGUGUACUUUCUGGUUCUACGGGUCAGCAUCAAUUUUGAUCACUGGAUAAUGUCUUUGGGAAUGUGGCAUCCUUGGAUGUGUUAUAGCCCUUGGUCACAUACAGUGGUUAGGAUUGAGGAACUCAGCAUGCCUGUAAAGGCCAGGUUUCGACCAUGUUCAUGCUUAGGAUGCUGGCAUAAUGGCUUUAAUCGACCCGUCUUGAAACACGGACCAAGGAGUCUAACAUGCUUGCAAGUGUUUGAGUGGAAAACUCAAGCGCGAAAUGAAAGUGAAAGUUGAGAUCCCUGUAAGUGGGGAGCAUUGAUGCCCAGACCAGACCUUUUGUGAUGGAUCUGCGGUAGAGCAAGUGUGUUGGGACCCGAAAGAUGGUGAACUAUGCCUGAAUAGGGUGAAGCCAGAGGAAACUCUGGUGGAGGCUCGUAGCGAUUCUGACGUGCAAAUCGAUCGUCAAAUUUGGGUAUAGGGGCGAAAGACUAAUCGAACCAUCUAGUAGCUGGUUCCUGC